AAUUGGUGCAUGAUGAUGAUGCAUCAGGUGUCCCUUAGAGGCGCCAGCAGUGGAGAGAUAUCACGGGAUGCUUUGCUUGCUAAAGUGUCUCAAGAGAGGGAGCUACGCAGUUAUGCAAGACGUGCUAAUGCUGCAGCUAUUUAUAUUCAGAGAGUUUGGAGGUCUUAUAUUGUGAGAAAGAAGGCAGCUAUAGAGAUCCAAGAGGAGUGGGAGAUUUUACUGAGUUGCUGUUCUGAUGCACUGACCAAGAGUUGGGUAUCAAGCACAGUAUUGAGACCGUUCCUCUUCUUUAUCAGAUCUUUGUCUAUCCAACAUCAAAAGA